rnacentral:rRNA from 1 species
UCCUACGGGAGGCAGCAGUGGGGAAUAUUGCACAAUGGGCGCAAGCCUGAUGCAGCAACGCCGCGUGAGGGACGAAGGCCUUCGGGUUGUAAACCUCUUUUAGUAGGGAAGAAGCGACUGGGUUUUCCUGGGAGUGACGGUACCUGCAGAAAAAGCACCGGCUAACUACGUGCCAGCAGCCGCGGUAAUACGUAGGGUGCAAGCGUUGUCCGGAAUUAUUGGCCGUAAAGAGCUCGUAGGCGGUUUGUCGCGUCUGCUGUGAAAACCCGAGGCUCAACCUCGGGCCUGCAGUGGGUACGGGCAGACUAGAGUGCGGUAGGGGAGAUUGGAAUUCCUGGUGUAGCGGUGGAAUGCGCAGAUAUCAGGAGGAACACCAAUGGCGAAGGCAGAUCUCUGGGCCGUAACUGACGCUGAGGAGCGAAAGCAUGGGGAGCGAACAGGAUUAGAUACCCUGGUAGUCCAUGCCGUAAACGUUGGGAACUAGGUGUGGGGACCAUUCCACGGUCUCCGUGUCGCAGCUAACGCAUUAAGUUCCCCGCCUGGGGAGUACGGCCGCAAGGCUAAAACUCAAAGGAAUUGACGGGGGCCCGCACAAGCGGCGGAGCAUGCGGAUUAAUUCGAUGCAACGCGAAGAACCUUACCAAGGCUUGACAUAUACCGGAAACGGCUGGAAACAGUCGCCCCGCAAGGUCGGUAUACAGGUGGUGCAUGGUUGUUGUCAGCUCGUGUCGUGAGAUGUUGGGUUAAGUCCCGCAACGAGCGCAACCCUCGUCCUAUGUUGCCAGCACGUAAUGGUGGGAACUCAUGGGAUACUGCCGGGGUCAACUCGGAGGAAGGUGGGGAUGACGUCAAAUCAUCAUGCCCCUUAUGUCUUGGGCUUCACGCAUGCUACAAUGGCCGGUACAAAGGGCCGCGAUACCGCAAGGUGGAGCGAAUCCCAAAAAGCCGGUCCCAGUUCGGAUUGAGGUCUGCAACUCGACCUCAUGAAGUCGGAGUCGCUAGUAAUCGCAGAUCAGCAACGCUGCGGUGAAUACGUUCCCGGGCCUUGUACACACCGC